UGGCUUGAUUAUGAAGGAGCCGAGAAACACCCCGUGUUAUAUGCUGAUGAUCGCUGUCUUUUAACUGGCACUUUUAUGAAAGGUGAGCGAACAACCUGUACGAUGUGGGUCACCGAAGACGCCAUGAGAAAUCCACUUCGCCAUUGUCAUUUUAUCCUACAAGCUAUGUGUGGAAACCCAUCGUACAACGCAUAUUCAGUAGAAAAGGGCCUUUGUGAAUACCUGCGUAAAUUUCCUCGGGGAUAAAACUAGAAUAAAGAUUUUCAUAAUGCCGUA